rnacentral:pre_miRNA from 7 species
CUUCAGAGAUGUGGGUGGUCGUGCCAAUCCCGGACGAGCCCCCAAAUGAAAGACCCCGAGAGGAGCCCCUUGCUCAUGCCUUGGGACAAUAGCGGACGCCCAAGAACUCAUGAGAGACC